rfam:Candidatus Gottesmanbacteria bacterium RIFCSPLOWO2_02_FTLL_38_8 rifcsplowo2_02_scaffold_55080, whole genome shotgun sequence.
GCGGGUGUGGUCCAAUGGCAGGAUGCGUCCUUCCCAAGGAUGAGGCGGGGGUUCGAUUUCCCCUCACCCGCU